AAUGUUGAUGUCUUCUAGAAGCACAAUCCAUAGGUCUGGAGCCUGGGUAUCCUGGUCUAUCUCCCCAGCAGAGGGCAGCACAAAGUCUACCUUCUUCAUCUUCCAUAUUAAUCUGCAAAUCCCUCUCUACGUUGUUAUCCUUUCUGGGGUCGGACUCAGGGAAAACACCAUCAUCUUCAUCUUCAUCAGUGUCCUCUUCACUCCACUGGACCCUAGCUGCGGUGUCUCGGGCCCUCUGCUUCAGAGCUGCUCUUGCAGUAAGCAAAAACUUUUCCUCCUUAUCCCUGGAGAUGAGAGAUGGCUCCACAGUCAUCCACCAUACCUUCAGAGCCUCAAAGACGCCCCUGGGUCAGCACACCAUCUUCCCCAGUCUUCCUCCUCGUCCCCAUCACUGUUCUGAAUUGGUGCUGGACACUUCUUACCUCGAGCCUGAGCAGCUACUGUGAAUAACUCUUCAAGCAAUGUUUUGACCCCAGGAGACUUAUUUGGUUUAGAGACUUCACGAGACCCUGCCCUCUUCUUGGCUGCUCUGUUUCAGGCACUACUUCACAGCCUUUUGAAAUUCUCAUCACUAGCUGCAGGCAAAAAUCUGAGCAGUUUGGUCUCUUCACCUUUCUGGUUUUGGGCCUUUUGGCCUGACCCAUGUGUCUCCUUCUUCCUAGGAUUUAACUUGUGCCCAGUGUUAACUGAAGGCUCAGCUUGCCUGGACCUGGUUGAGGCAGACCCAGUACCUCCAGCCAAGGCCUGUGCCACGUGGUCUUGAGGAAGAGCUGGGAUUACAUUCUUUAGUAUUAUAAUCAGCGCCCUUGAGACAAAUUUAAGCUGGUCUUAUUAUUUUAAGGAAAACUACAUAGGACAUAUGUUCUCUGUGGAAGUGAUAUUAUGUCAGUCACAUAUGAUAAGUGCCAAACAAUCAAAGUCACAGUUUCCAGUGAUAGGGCUCACUUUAAAGCUAAAGGUUGACAUGAAAAAUAUACAAGGAAAACACCAAUGUUGUUAAUCUGGAGUGCCUCACUUACUUAUUUUUAUUAAACUUAGGAGUAGCAUAUGAAUAGGUUGUGUGUUGAAGCAUGACACUUCUGUGGUCCUUUUCAACAAUUCUGAUGGAAUGUGUCUCUAUGAACGCUUUCAAAUCCCAUCUAGCUCAUCAUUUAAUCAUCUAUAUGUUGUUGAAAAAGUACAAGGUUGUCAUGACAACUAGAGAGAUAAUUUAGUCAACAUAACUCAUUCCACAUAACAUAACACUUUGCCUUUGUUCAAAUAUAUUUCUAUAAAUAUUCAUAUUCAGCAUUUUAAUAGUAUGCUUUAUAUUAGAAUGUGUGGACCCCAGAAUUAAAUAAGACCUCUCAGUUCCUGACACUAUUGUCAUGUGCCAUUAUUCUUCUCUAGCUGAAGUCACAACCUUGGUCAUUGAAGGUAUUAUCCAUACCCCCCAGGCUUAAAUUAAGCUCUUGGGGAAUUCUUUCCUGACAUAGAGUUUGGUGAGCAUAAAAAUUAGGUUAAUCCUACAAAAAAAAAAAAGGGUUCAGAGGAAAGAAUUCAACAUCAAAGUGGAGCACAUCAUUCAAUUUACAAGACCUAUAGUGGGCAGACAUUGGAACUGGAAAAAGGGAUGAAAGUCAGGAAUACUUUGCGGGAGUAAGGAGGAUCAUAGCUAGUAUCUAGUUAUGAAACUAUUAACACACUGGAAAUUAUUUCUUUAUAAUUUUUACUUCUUUCCUAGUGAGAAAAAUAAGAUGUUCAUUCAUAUGAAUAAAUAUGUAACUAUAUCAAUAAAGUCAUAAGCAUUUUGG